rnacentral:pre_miRNA from 1 species
UAAUUUGCUUGUGCGGCAUCAUCAAGAUUCACAACAAAAUAAGAAUAAGAAAAAAAGGAAACCCUAAUUUUAUUUUUUGAGGAUUGAUUUGUUUUGAGGAUGAUUUUGAUUGAGAAUCUUGAUGAUGCUGCAUUAGCAAUAAC